rnacentral:rRNA from 1 species
UACAGAGGUCCCGAGCGUUGUUCGGAUUUACUGGGCGUAAAGGGCGCGCAGGCGGCUCUGAAAGUCAGAUGUGAAAGCCCCGGGCUUAACCUGGGAAUUGCAUUUGAUACUCUGGAGCUUGGGUACGGGAGAGGAGAGUGGAAUUCCCAGUGUAGAGGUGAAAUUCGUAGAUAUUGGGAAGAACACCGGUGGCGAAGGCGGCUCUCUGGACCGUAACUGACGCUGAGGCGCGAAAGCGUGGGGAGCAAACAGG